UAUUCUACUCCACGGGGAAGGAUGAGAAGCUUCGACUAAGGUUCGACUCGAGCGUAGCGAGAGAACGUUGCCGCAGGCAACGGCCCGAAGGGCGAGGCGCUUUAGCGCCGAGUUAUCCUUCCCCCACCAUUC
rnacentral:sRNA from 2 species